rnacentral:rRNA from 1 species
AAACUAACAAGGAUUCCCCUAGUAACGGCGAGUGAACCGGGAAGAGCUCAAAUUUGAAAUCUGGCAGUCUUCGAUUGUCCGAGUUGUAAUCUAUAGAAGCGUUUUCCGUGCUGAACUGUGUAUAAGUCCCUUGGAACAGGGUAUCAAAGAGGGUGACAAUCCCGUACUUUACACAAUCAUCAGUGCUCUGUGAUACGUUCUCUACGAGUCGAGUUGUUUGGGAAUGCAGCUCAAAAUGGGUGGUAAAUUCCAUCUAAAGCUAAAUAUUGGCGAGAGACCGAUAGCGAACAAGUACCGUGAGGGAAAGAUGAAAAGCACUUUGGAAAGAGAGUUAAACAGUACGUGAAAUUGUUGAAAGGGAAACGAAAUUCAUGAAUCAUGUUUAUUGGACUCAGCCGUUCUUCGGUGUACUUCCUUUAAACGGGUCAACAUCAGUUUUGUCCGAUGGAUAAAGGUAGUAGGAAGGUGGCUCUCUCGGGAGUGUUAUAGCCUAUUGCUGCAUACAUUGGAUGAGACUGAGGACUGCAGCUUGCCUUUAUGGCCGGGGUUCGCCCACGUUCAAGCUUAGGAUGUUGACAUAUUCUCGAAUCACGAC